rnacentral:rRNA from 1 species
UACGUAGGGGGCAAGCGUUAUCCGGAUUUACUGGGUGUAAAGGGCGUGUAGCCGGGCUGACAAGUCAGAUGUGAAAUCCCGUGGCUCAACCACGGAACUGCAUUUGAAACUGUCGGUCUUGAGUAUCGGAGAGGCAGGCGGAAUUCCUAGUGUAGCGGUGAAAUGCGUAGAUAUCGCGCAGAACUCCGAUUGCGAAGGCAGCGUACCGGCGCCACACUGACGCUGAGGCACGAAAGCGUGGGUAUCGAACAGG